AUGACUUUGAGAAGCAAUGAUAUAUACUCAUACCAUAAACUUUGAAAAUUAAGUUUCAAGUAUUUUACCUAGGAUGGCAUCAUUUAAAUUUGGUUUGAUCUUCAGUGUUCUUCUCAUGGCAGCCACUAUCGAUGUAAUGUGGUUCUCAAUGAUGCAAGUGGCUGCAGUACGCAAUGUUGAUCCUACUCUAGGAGGACUCAAAAGGAGGCUACUCCCUCAACUUAAUGAUAUUUUUACUUGUGGGAGACCUUGUAUUUCUGAUGAAGCUUGUCGUACUGACUGUAUCCUUUGCUGCAGUUGUACGUAUGAGUAUUGGGAUCCUACUCUUUACCGGUGUCGUUGAACUACUUUUCGUUUGCUAUAAUAUUGGCUUCUGCUAAUAAUCUCUGUUAUAAAUUGGCUACGUUGGUCGGAUUCUCCAAAAGUGAUAAGCUACCCGUAUCGAAUCCUUCAAGAAUGCUCUUUUGAAGGAUCCGCGAUAAGCACCCCUCGACAUUUUUGAGGAGUCUGAGCAACAUAGUUAUUUGCUUUGUUUCUGUUAAUUAUGUUCUUGUGGCCUUGUAUAUUUGUUUCGACGAUAAAGUAGUUCAAGUGAAUAACAGUAAUUUUAUUCUGCUCCAA